GAUGAACGCUAGCGGCAGGCUUAACACAUGCAAGUCGAGGGGUAGAAGAAGCUUGCUUCUUUGAGACCGGCGCACGGGUGCGUAACGCGUAUGCAAUCUACCUUUCACAGAGGGAUAGCCCAGAGAAAUUUGGAUUAAUACCUCAUAGUAAUACGACUUGGCAUCAAGAUGUAUUUAAAGAUUUAUCGGUGAAAGAUGAGCAUGCGUCCCAUUAGCUAGUUGGUAUGGUAACGGCAUACCAAGGCUACGAUGGGUAGGGGUCCUGAGAGGGAGAUCCCCCACACUGGUACUGAGACACGGACCAGACUCCUACGGGAGGCAGCAGUGAGGAAUAUUGGACAAUGGGCGCAAGCCUGAUCCAGCCAUGCCGCGUGCAGGAUGACGGUCCUAUGGAUUGUAAACUGCUUUUAUACAGGAAGAAACACC
rnacentral:rRNA from 1 species